UACGGAGGGGGCUAGCGUUGUUCGGAAUUACUGGGCGUAAAGCGCACGUAGGCGGCUUUGCAAGUCAGAGGUGAAAGCCCGGGGCUCAACCCCGGAACUGCGUCCGAUACUGGAAGGCUUGAAUCCGGGAGAGGGAUGCGGAAUUCCAGGUGUAGCGGUGAAAUGCGUAGAUAUCAUUUGGAACGCCAAUGGUGAAAACAGGUAACUGGGAGUGUGCUGACGCUGAGACACGAAAGCCAGGGGAGCAAACGGG
rnacentral:rRNA from 1 species